GUCCAGACUCCUACGGGAGGCAGCAGUGGGGAAUAUUGCACAAUGGGGGAAACCCUGAUGCAGCGACGCCGCGUGAGUGAAGAAGUAUCUCGGUACGUAAAGCUCUAUCAGCAGGGAAGAAAAUGACGGUACCUGACUAAGAAGCCCCGGCUAACUACGUGCCAGCAGCCGCGGUAAUACGUAGGGGGCAAGCGUUAUCCGGAUUUACUGGGUGUAAAGGGAGCGUAGACGGCAGCGCAAGUCUGGAGUGAAAUGCCGGGGCCCAACCCCGGUACUGCAUUGGAAACUACCGGACUGGAGUGUCGGAGGGGUAAGUGGAAUUCCUAGUGUAGCGGUGAAAUGCGUAGAUAUUAGGAGGAACACCAGUGGCGAAGGCGGCUUACUGGACGAUCACUGACGCUGAGGCUCGAAAGCGUGGGGAGCAAACAGGAUUAGAUACCCCGGUA
rnacentral:rRNA from 1 species